rnacentral:lncRNA from 1 species
GAAGCAGGAAGCAGAAAACACUCUCCAUUCAUCCUCAUACAGCUUGCCUACUGCCAAGUAGACAGUCAAUAAACAAGGAAAUAAUUAGUUGCACGGCUCAUUAGGAAGGGACUUAUUCCAAGAACAACAAAAAUCAAGUGGGAAGGGGAAUGAAGGCUCAGAGCAGGGGAUUACUUUCCAUCCAGGUGGCUGUGAUAGGAAUGGAGGCUGUGAGCAACUGCCAGGGGGGAAGGAACAUUCUAAGACAAUGCAGUCCCUGGUGCAACAGCCCAUGUGGCAGGACAUACCUGAAACACACGUGGCAUGGAAAGGCAGAUGUGGAAGCUGUCCCUGGUAGUGGAGCAAGGUGUCCAAGCCACCCAGCUAGCAGGCAGUAGAACUCAUACCUGCCUUGUCCUGAGAGGUCUUCCUGUUGGAAGCAUUGUCAAGGCUCAUCAAGUGCACUGAAACUGAGGGAAGGUCUGUCAGGCUGGGAACCCAGGACACAGUCAAGGAUGUAAGCUGGGACUCUGAGGUCUGUCUCCGAGUUCUGUGUGUCUUGCAGCAACCACAUUCCUGUUUCUCCCAUGUGCUAUUCUGCUGGACAUUUUUCUCUUUGAUUUGAUGGCUAUACAAUUAAUCUCAUCUGACAGGUGAGGAGGGGUCUCCCCUACCAUGGUCCCCAAGCUUCCUGGAGAGUAAAUAUUGAUUUUGGGAACUGGGGUGGAGGGCAGAUUCACUUGUGAAUCGAUUCUGAGUCAAACCACAUCUUGAGUGGCAUCCUGCGAUGAAGGAUGGUACCUUGUCCUUUUGGCUGGCACACUGAAUAUGAGAGGAGGUGGGGGCUCUCCACAGACCACCAGAAAAAAGUUAGGAGCUCCACACAGCAUCCUUGAUGAACGAAUGCUGGGCCUACCCUGGAAUGAGGUUGUCUGAUGAAGGGACUGUUGGCAGACCCUUCUGAGUAACAGGCACAGGGUUUGGCUCUGUGAGGACUGUCUGAGAGGCUUCAGUCAGCUGAGCCCUGUGCCCUGCACUGGAGCACAAGUCGUCUUAUACACCCAGUCUGCUUAGGAAAGAAGCUAUGUGUCUCCAGUAGUCACGUGGGUCCAAGCUGCCUGUUUUCUGUUCUGGAGGCCAGUCUUCAGCUUCCCUGGAAAGACUAGGGUGUCCUUACCUGGAUGGCUUGUUUCAGUAGUACCAUCACUAAAUGGCUCUCAAGGAGACUUGCAUGUCCCAGGAAUGGAGGACAAAGAGACAAGAGCCCAAACACACCUUAGGGUGAAAUGAAGUCUCACUGCUAUAGCAACUUCAAACUGCAGCUCAGACCUAAAGCUGAGAUGCCUGGCUUAUUGAACAGAUGCUGAGCCAUUCCACUGAUAAAAAGCUCAAGUAUAUCU